rnacentral:rRNA from 1 species
GACGAACGCUGGCGGCGUGCUUAACACAUGCAAGUCGUACGGUAAGGCCCUUUCGGGGGUACACGAGUGGCGAACGGGUGAGUAACACGUGAGUAACCUGCCCACAACUUUGGGAUAACGCUAGGAAACUGGUGCUAAUACUGGAUAUGUGCUCCUGCUGCAUGGUGGGGGUUGGAAAGCUCCGGCGGUUGUGGAUGGACUCGCGGCCUAUCAGCUUGUUGGUGGGGCAGUGGCCUACCAAGGCGGCGACGGGUAGCCGGCCUGAGAGGGUGACCGGCCACAUUGGGACUGAGAUACGGCCCAGACUCCUAAGGGUGGCAGCAGUGGGGAAGAUUGCACAAGGAGCGCAAGUCGGAUGCAGCAACGCCGCGUGCGGGAUGACGGGCUUUGGGUUGUAAACCGAUUUCAGCAGGGACGAAGCUUUUUGUGACGGUACCUGCAGAAGAAGCACCGGCUAACUACGUG